UUGAAUUUUUUUAUCUUUCUUCCUUCAUUAAAAAAUAAUUAUACUUCUCUCUCUUUGUUAAACAAAUUUCAAAUAUAUAUUUUCCUUUUAUCUCUAAGAUUUCCAAAGUGAACAAAAUGAACUUAAUUAGCUACCAGCUAAGAUUUCAAUUGGUCUGCCAAAAAUAUGAGCACCCAGAACUUUCAACUAAUUAGCUCUCAAUAUACCCAAAUUUCUUCGAAUCUCUUCCAUAAUUAGCUCCCAAUAUUUCCCCAAAUUUCUUGGUAAUUAGCUCUUAAUAUUCCCCAGAUUUCACAGUGAAGAAGAUUGUUCUCUCAUAAAUCGCACAUUGAAGGAGAUAUGGUCUCGUAGCAUUAGCAAGAUACAUAAGUGCCCCAAUCGCACUAAGAUAAGGUACUUCUGGACCAAGAGGUUCCUCAUUCUCUUCUUGAGGUCGGAAUGGAUCCUUACCCACUUCAAGUGAUCGGACAACCAUUGGAGUACUCAAUGGAUGUGCUUUGUCCAUGUAAAAUCGUUUCAAGAUUUUCUCACUAUAGGCAGAUUGAUGGAUGAAGACCCCGUCUACUAAAUAUUCUAUUUGUAGUCCAAGACAAUUUUUUUUUCUUUCCAAGGUCUUUCAUCUCAAAUUCUUUCUUUAGAUAUUCAAUUGCCUUUUGAACCUCUUCUGGAGUUCCAAUGAGAUUAAUAUCAUCAACAUAAACAGCAAGAAUAACAAACUCCAAUGUUGUUUUCUCAAUAAAUAUACAAAGACAAAUGACAUCGUUUAUAACCUUAUUUUAUCAAGUACUCACUGAGGCGAUUAUACCACAUGCAUCCUGAUUGUUUUAAGCCAUAUAAUGACUUUUGUAAUCUGAUUGAAUACAUUUCCCGAGAUUUUGAACUA